GACUAUCACCAUUCACCCAGAAUGCACCAGAUCCUUCCAGAUCUUAGAAGCUAAGCUGAGUUGAGCUUGGAUAGUGCUUGCAUGGGUGACUUACCAUAUACAAGCAGGUGGUAUAGGCU
rnacentral:rRNA from 1 species